UGUAAAAGCCUGUGCUUUAGUCUGUUAAAGUCUGUUAACACGGGUCUGUGUGGUUUUUUUUAUGUUUGGAUCGGUUCCUGAGUGUGUUUUUACAUGUCUCUGCGUACAUGUGGGUCUGUGCAUGUGUGAGUGUAAUUACGUGUGUUUCUGUUUAUGUGUGUGUCCGUUCAUAUAUGUGCUGUCAUGCAUGGCUGGUCUUGGGCUUAGGGCAGUGGUCCCCUCUGCGGCCCGGGCCGCAGACCCAUUUGCCACCGGGCCGCAGAAGAAUUUAGGGACGUUUUUUUUUUUUUUUUGAGUCAGAAAUCUUUCAUUUUGAAAAUCAACCAGGUUUUCUCAAUUAUACUGAGCGCUAAAAGCAGUCCAGCGGCGUGUAACACGAGAAAAGUUGCAUGUGUAAACCUUUCUCCGCGAAUGGAUGGGAUUAGUGCAGCAACAGAAGAACAGACGGAAAACAGGUGAUUCCCACACAACAUACCUGUUUGCAUAGAUAUCUGACUUUCCCGAACAAAUCUAAUCUUUAGAACGGUCAUAGAAAUGCUCAAACAUGCUCGUCCAUUCAGAUACACAUUUCAGAGUGCGCAGAGGCCGAAACGGCAACGGCUGCCGAACGCUGCAGAGGCCUGUCGAUUAGAGAACUUUUUAAAACAGGUAAUGAUGCCAAUACUAUUAAAGAUUAUGACAUUUGAU